rnacentral:tRNA from 1 species
GCGCGAGUGCUGAAAUUGGUAGACAGGCCAGCUUGAGGGGCUGGUGUCCGCAAGGGCGUGCAGGUUCAAGUCCCGUCUCGCGCACCA